GACGAACGCUGGCGGCGUGCCUAAUACAUGCAAGUUGAGCGAUGAAGCUUGGUGCUUGCCCCAAUUUGAAGAGCAGCGAACGGGUGAGUAACGCGUGGGGAAUCUGCCUUUGAGCGGGGGACAACAUUUGGAAACGAAUGCUAAUACCGCAUAACAACUUUAAACAUAAGUUUUAAGUUUGAAAGAUGCAAUUGCAUCACUCAAAGAUGAUCCCGCGCUGUAUUAGCUAGUUGGUGAGGUAAAGGCUCACCAAGGCGAUGAUACAUAGCCGACCUGAGAGGGUGAUCGGCCACAUUGGGACUGAGACACGGCCCAAACUCCUACGGGAGGCAGCAGUAGGGAAUCUUCGGCAAUGGACGAAAGUCUGACCGAGCAACGCCGCGUGAGGGAAGAAGGUUUUCGGAUCGUAAAACUCUGUUGGUAGAGAAGAACGUUGGUGAGAGUGGAAAGCUCAUCAAGUGACGGUAACUACCCAGAAAGGGACGGCUAACUACGUG
rnacentral:rRNA from 1 species